UACGGAGGGUGCAAGCGUUGUUCGGAAUUAUUGGGCGUAAAGCGCGUGUAGGCGGUCGUGUAAGUCAGAUGUGAAAGCCUUCCGCUCAACGGAAGAAGUGCAUUUGAAACUACUCGGCUAGAGUACGGGAGAGGAGAGUGGAAUUCCCGGUGUAGAGGUGGAAUUCGUAGAUAUCGGGAGGAACACCAGUGGCGAAGGCGACUCUCUGGUCCGAUACUGACGCUGAGACGCGAAAGCGUGGGGAGCAAACAGG
rnacentral:rRNA from 1 species